AAUCAACGCUGGCGGCGUGCCUAACACAUGCAAGUCGAACGCGAAAGUUCCUUCGGGGAUGAGUAGAGUGGCGUCCGGGUGAGUAACGCGUGGGUAAUCUGCCUUUGGGUGGGGGAUAACUCAGGGAAACUUGGGCUAAUACCGCAUAAUGCAGCGGCUCGACAUCGGAGACAGUUGUUAAAGCAGCAAUGCGCCUGAAGAGGAGCCUGCGUCUGAUUAGCAGUUGGUAAGGUAAUGGCUUACCAAGGCUACGAUCAGUAGCUGGUCUGAGAGGACGGCCAGCCACAAUGGCACUGAAACACGGGCCAUACUCCUAC
rnacentral:rRNA from 1 species